AGGAGCCCAUUGGGCACGGCCGCACUAACCCUAGCUCCCCAUCCACAGCCACGCACUCCUCCCUCCUCCCUCUCACAGCUGCCACACCCCAUUCCUCUCUUCCUCCUCCCUCCUCCUUCCUGGAUCCCUGCCAUCGCCACACCCACUCGUCUCCUCCUCUCUCCUUCCUGAUCUCUACGUCGGCCGCAGCGCGAGAGGAGCAGCGGGGCGGAGAUGCUCCCGGCCCCGCCUCUCGGUGCACAGCCUGCGCCGCCGUGGACGUCCCGAGCCCCGUGAAGGUGCGCCGCCGGCCACGAGCGCCGCAAUGGCUGUGGUCCCGCUCAUGGAGUCAUCCAUGGCCGCCCGGAACGCGAAGAGGAGGGAGGGGCUCGCGGCGCGCUGGGGAGGGGGGGAGACGGGAAGGAAUGGGCGAGUGGGAAGGGGGCGAGCGGGAUGGGCGGGGCGGCAGAUGGGGAGGCGGCUAGGGUUCUACCUGCUGCUGGCGGAAGUAGCAGGGUUUGAAGGAGCGGCAGAUGUGGGCAUGGUUGCGGUUGGGGAAGGCUCGCCGGCUGGGGGACGGCGAGCAUCGGUGAGCGCAACGAAAGGAAGCCAGGCAUCGGCGUACGACAAUGAUUUGGGCGCCUGCGGCAUGACGGCGAGUCGCCGCCGAACGCUCAGCGAUGGGGCGAGUUGGUUAAGGCGUCAGUGGCACCUUUGCUCGUCGCCAAGGAUGGCACGUGCGCGAUCUGAAAUACGAUGCCGGCCAACUUUGGCCUCCGAGGCUUCCCUGACACCCUCCUCCACCACUACCUCAAUAAAAAUGUCUUCAAAGGAUUAGGGCUUAGGGCAACUCGAUGGCAGCCAGUCGGAGUUUGCUAAGUUGCAUAUGCAAGUCCUUUUGAAAUAUGAAACUUCUGUGUGGUGAUGAGUUGCAUUGCUUCUGCUCAUCUUGAUUGAUUCAUCUCCAGUGAAGGGGUGUGCCUUUUGAUGCAUUCAUUUUCUCUUUCAUACAUGGUGUUCAUCUUUGUUUUGGAGAACAUCACCCUUGCUGAUGUUCACCUUAUCUAUGUAUGCAGGGGGCUUGUCCUUCCAUGGUGCUCAGCCACGGACAGAUUUGGAGGGAAAUAGGAGAUCCUGACGAAAAUGAGCAUGCUAGCGGUGGAUCCAAGGAUGCGUGGUGAUUGUGCCAGGUUUGUGCUCUGGCUCUUCUGUUGGGUUUUUCCAUGGUUGUAUAUGGCAUAUUAGCGUUAUUAGGAGCUGUGGUUCCGGAUUUUUUCGCUGCUCUAUAGAUCUAUUAUUUGAAGAACUGAUGAUAUACAGUGAGUUGCCUUGCACCAUUAUUUGGCCUUUCAAGCGCUUGAUUUGAAUUUUUUAAUGUAUUCAAAGUGUCCCUACUUCCUAACAAGCCACCCAUUUGUCAUGUGUAUGUGUUGUCAUCACAAAGUUGUUUUCUGCCCACCCGAAAAGCGCUCACCGAGCCAAUCACGUGGAGGUGCUUGUCAAGUAUGGGUGGAAAGCUUGACAAGUCGUUUUAUCUCUAUGAUCUCCUCAUGACCACAACCGUAGUGCAGGAUGCUGCUGCCCAAGUUGUCGUUUAUCUUUGGGUAUUCCUUAAUGUUGGGGCUACUACAUAUCCAGAUCACUAGAUGAUACAAAGGUGUCUUCCCUUCCUUUGUUUAUAUUCCUUUAUGUUGGGGCUGGUGUUAGGUUCCACUGGAUCAAAUUUUAGCUGUUGUUUCUUAUGUUCUAGAGAAGCUAGAGGAGUAAUUAGUGUUCUCUGUUUUUCUAAUGAUUGUAUGUGUGGAACUAUGGAUGCAUACAAAUAGUAAAGGAGCAAUUAACUUUCUCUCUUUUUUGCAAGUAUAUGUGGAUGCGCAUAAAGUGUUGGCUGUCUGCUUAUAUCAAGUAUGGUCUGAUAUUUUGGUCAUAUCAGCCCCAGUAUUGAGCAUACCAACUGAUAUUCUGGUCAUAUCAGCCCCAAUAUUAAGCAUGCCAGUUGAUAUUCUGGUCAUAUCACACUUUCUACAGUCUACACCAAAUCUGCGAGCACGAUCUCUGAUAUUUGAAUCUUGAAAUUACCAUUAGAAAGGCAAAGAGAUCUUGUAGAAAAAUAGGUUACAUGCUCAGAAUCGAAGCUUCAUCAAAUCUAUCUGGGCGUUCAUUGCGUAAUACAAUGUUGAGAUUGAGAACAUUUUCAUAGGGGAACUUAAGAACUAGGAGGGUGCAGAUAAGUAAGAGUUGUUGGCAGCAGCAACCUACACAUGUGGAAACAGUGGCUAUGGCGGUUCAAAGGGAAGUUGUGGCUGCUAGACAGCAACUCACAACUUAGUGGCGGCUCAAAGGACAUAUAAUCUAUUUCUUCUUGGAGCUAUCUACUAUCAUAUUAUGACUCAUUGCUAGCUGAAGCUUCUAUUUUCUCGCCUUUUGUGGUGGCGAUUAUUCCUUGGACUGCAGUAAUUCCAUUUGCUAUUCCUCAUGUUGCAACCUUUUCCCGUAGAAUCAAAAGGAAUUAGAUGGAAGAAAUGGCAGGAGAGAAGGAAUGGUAUUCUCGGCUGACAUUCAAAAGCAGUCAAGAUGGUGAAGUUUAGAAUGGAGGAGCUCCGCGGAAUUAUGGAUAAAAAAUAUCCAUAACAUGUCUGUCAUUGCUCAUGUCGACCAUGCUUGCUAUUAUUAGAGAAGGAAUGGUAUUCUCGGUUGACAUUCAAAAGCAGUCAAGAUGGUGAAGUUUAGAACGGAGGAGCUCCACGGAAUUAUGGAUAAAAAAUAUCGAUAACAUGUCUGUCAUUGCUCAUGUCGACCAUGGCCAGUUUUACAUUUACUUCUUCGAUAAGGAGAUGACCAUGAACAGAGUAUCAUGGUAUUUGCCUUGGCAUUACUGAUGUUGUGUUCAGAUUACUGAAGGAUUGGUAGCCGCAAAGGAGUGAAGGGUAGAAAAUAUGUCCAUUGUCAUUGAAUUGGUGGGAUUGUCCCCAAGUUAGUGCUGCAGAUGUUUCUAUUUUAGAGCAAGAAGCCAAAUCAUGCUGUUCAUUGUAAAUCUUGAAAAGCUUGUUUAUUGUCACUUCUAUAUCUGUUGUAAAUGUUUAUUCAUGAUGUGGUACUUGUCAAUCUUGUUUUGCCCUUCUUUUUCAA